GGAUGCGAUCAUACCAGCACUAAAGCACCGGAUCCUAUCAGAACUCCGAAGUUACGCGUGCUUGGGAGAGAGUAGUACUAGGAUGGGUGACCUCCUGGGAAGUCCUCGUGUUGCAUUCC
rnacentral:rRNA from 1 species